GCGAAUGGCUCAUUAUAUAAGUUAUCGUUUAUUUGAUAGUACCUUACUACUUGGAUAACCGUGGUAAUUCUAGAGCUAAUACAUGCUAAAAAUCCCGACUUCGGAAGGGAUGUAUUUAUUAGAUUAAAAACCAAUGCCCUCUGGGCUCCUUGGUGAUUCAUAAUAACUUUUCGAAUCGCAUGGCCUUGCGCCGGCGAUGGUUCAUUCAAAUUUCUUCCCUAUCAACUUUCGAUGUUUGGGUAUUGGCCAAACAUGGUCGCAACGGGUAACGGAGGGUUAGGGCUCGACCCCGGAGAAGGAGCCUGAGAAACGGCUACUACAUCCAAGGAAGGCAGCAGGCGCGCAAAUUACCCAAUCCCGAUUCGGGGAGGUAGUGACAAUAAAUACUGAUACAGGGCUCUUUUGGGUCUUGUAAUUGGAAUGAGUACAAUUUAAAUCCCUUAACGAGGAACAAUUGGAGGGCAAGUCUGGUGCCAGCAGCCGCGGUAAUUCCAGCUCCAAUAGCGUAUAUUAAAGUUGUUGUGGUUAAAAAGCUCGUAGUUGAACCUUGGGCCUGGCUGGCCGGUCCGCCUCACCGCGUGUACUGGUCCGGCCGGGCCUUUCCCUCUGUGGAACCUCAUGCCCUUCACUGGGUGUGGCGGGGAAACAGGACUUUUACUUUGAAAAAAUUAGAGUGCUCCAGGCAGGCCUAUGCUCGAAUACAUUAGCAUGGAAUAAUGAAAUAGGACGUGUGGUUCUAUUUUGUUGGUUUCUAGGACCGCCGUAAUGAUUAAUAGGGACAGUCGGGGGCAUCAGUAUUCAAUUGUCAGAGGUGAAAUUCUUGGAUUUAUUGAAGACUAACUACUGCGAAAGCAUUUGCCAAGGAUGUUUUCAUUAAUCAGGAACGAAAGUUAGGGGNAUCGAAGACGAUCAGAUACCGUCGUAGUCUUAACCAUAAACUAUGCCGACUAGGGAUCGGACGAUGUUAUUUUUUGACGCGUUCGGC
rnacentral:rRNA from 1 species